rnacentral:rRNA from 1 species
UACGUAGGGUGCAAGCGUUGUCCGGAAUUAUUGGGCGUAAAGAGCUCGUAGGCGGUCUGUCACGUCGGCUGUGAAAACCCGAGGCUCAACCUCGGGCCUGCAGUCGAUACGGGCAGACUAGAGUUCGGUAGGGGAGACUGGAAUUCCUGGUGUAGCGGUGAAAUGCGCAGAUAUCAGGAGGAACACCGGUGGCGAAGGCGGGUCUCUGGGCCGAAACUGACGCUGAGGAGCGAAAGCGUGGGGAGCGAACAGG